AAUAUUCACUGAUAUAGAAUAAUAAACGUAGGUCCCUCCGGUGGAGUUAUUUCCCAACUGUCUUGUGCAACAAAAAGUUCUUCAUCCAUUCCGGAAGCAAGGGAAGUAACUUUAUUUUCCCUUGUUCAUUUUCCUUGUUUUGUCUGUUUAACUUCUCCGAAAUUCAGGUCUUAUUCUUAUUACUGCAGUAGGUUGGUGGAACUAUUUUGUCUGCAAAACUUGCAAAAGAGAGAGGAUAGGCCAUUAACGUAGGAAGAGGAUUUCAUCACUGCUCUGCAGAAAAAGGAGGUGGAUUUCAUCUCUUUGAGCAGUUUGAUGAUCGUUUGAGGGGACUUGCUCUACUCAUGGUGCCAUCAGAAAUGAUUUCACUGACUUGACGUAAGCUUACAUUGCAUUGCUUUUCAAUCUGCUCUCUUUACAUUAGUUUCGGAACUUUGCACGGAACCUGUUUGUGAUAAUGCUCUUUUGUAUUCGUUACUGAAAUUCUUAAUUGCUAUUUAUCAUUUGAUAAUUAAGUUAAAAGAUGCACUGGCAUUGAUAUUGAUUUUAUCAUUUUAUGGUUCUGAAGCCUCAUGAUUGAUUUUUGGUUGUUUUAGCUCCCCUCAUACUUGGUAUCCACAGGCCAGAAGGAAACAUCGCAGGAUUAUCCUGCAUGUUGGUCCCACAAAUAGUGGUAAAACGCAUCAGGCUUUGAGUCAAGUGAUUCUGGUAACUCCAUUUUUACAGUGUAGGAUGAUAGCCAAGAAAGAGGGAGGAUGAGAGCUUUGUAAAUGGGUUUUCCAGGUUUUCCAGUUUUCCAGUGCAUUUAUGAUUGGAGGUAGGAAACUAAUAACCAAUGCACAUUGUGUGGAACAUGAUACACAGGUUAAAGUUAAGAGAAGAGGGGAUGAUACAAAAUACGUGGCUAAAGUGUGUCUCUAUGAAGGUAAAAUUUGAUAUAUCUGAGGUUUACUUGUAAGCUAUACCUUGCUUUUAAACUUGGAGUGAAUUCAUUGUAAAGUGUUUUAGCCAGAGGUGUUGAUUGUGAUAUAGCUUUGCUUUCAGUAGAAAGUGAUGAAUUAUGGAGAGAUGUGGAACCUCUCAGAUUAGGACGAUUGUCGCAUCUUCAGGAUUCUGUUACUGUGGUGGGAUAUCCUCCCUUCUAGCUGAUGGUUUAGCUGUUGCUGUACAGGCAAUUCUAGCAUGUGCCUUUGCUGAGAAAAAUUUUGACAAAGUAACGGCUGAAGGAUCAAAAGGAGAGGAAAAAGCAGGAAAUUAGGACUCAUAAUGCUCAGUUGCAUGCUGCAGUAUCUGUGGCAGGCAUAGUUGCUGCCGUUGCGGCCAUUGCAGCUUCAAUAGAGUGUACAUUGUAGAAUCAAUAGAGUGUACAUAGCAGCCAUAAGAAAGUGUACAUAGCUGCCAUAAAGUUCUACACUUACCAUAUGAGUGGUCUCUAGCUUAGCUUGCAUUGUUCAAGGAAUUUUAGAAAAUUCUAAGGAUACUACUCUACUAAUGUUUGUGAGACAUGAAUGUAAUUUUCACUCCAUAUGGAUGUACAAGUGUAUAUUAUUGAAUAAGUAGAGUUAUAUGCAAAG